ACACCCUAUAUAUGGUGAUAAUACCUGUAUAGAGUGAUUAUCCUUAUAUAGAGGGACAUAUUUGUUUAGAAUGGAUUAAAAGCAGGAAGAUUUUAUUUUCUAGUAUUAUUGGGUAAAAUCUAAGGCAUUUUGAAUCCACUUGAUAGUCCCCACCACAUGAGAGCAGACGACAAUUGCCAGUUCGGAGAGAGUGUAGUGUUAGAUAAACCUGUGAAGACUGGCAAGGGAUCUUUUGCUAAUGUUGGUCUUCUAAAG